rnacentral:rRNA from 1 species
AGUGAACGCUGGCGGUAGGCCUAACACAUGCAAGUCGAACGGCAGCACAGUAAGAGCUUGCUCGUACGGGCGGCGAGUGGCGUACGGGUGAGGAAUACAUCGGAAUCUACUUUUUCGUGGGGGAUAACGUAGGGAAACUUACGCUAAUACCGCAUACGACCUACGGGUGAAAGCAGGGGAUCUUCGGACCUUGCGCGAUUGAAUGAGCCGAUGUCGGAUUGGCUAGUUGGGGGGGUAAAGGCCCACCAAGGCGACGAUCCGUAGCUGGUCUGAGAGGAUGACCAGCCCCACUGGAACCGAGAAACCGUCCACACCCCUACGGGAGGCAGCAGUGGGGAAUAUUGGACAAUGGGCGCAAGCCUGAUCCAGCCAUACCGCGUGGAUGAAGAAGGCCUUCGGGUUGUAAAGCCGUUUUGUUGGGAAAGAAAAGCAGCAGGUUAAUACCCCGCUGUUCUGACGGUACCCAAAGAAUAAGCACCGGCUAACUACGUG